rnacentral:pre_miRNA from 1 species
AGCUUUUCGAAUCCGAGCCGAGAUUUUGUCAGACACCGACCCAUUAGGGCUGAUCAGGCUUCCAAGAUAAGUGAAGUU